rnacentral:rRNA from 1 species
GACGAACGCUGGCGGCGUGCCUAAUACAUGCAAGUAGAACGCUGAAGAGAGGAGCUUGCUCUUCUUGGAUGAGUUGCGAACGGGUGAGUAACGCGUAGGUAACCUGCCUGGUAGCGGGGGAUAACUAUUGGAAACGAUAGCUAAUACCGCAUAAAAUUGAUUAUUGCAUGAUAAUUAAUUGAAAGAUGCAAUUGCAUCACUACCAGAUGGACCUGCGUUGUAUUAGCUAGUUGGUGAGGUAACGGCUCACCAAGGCGACGAUACAUAGCCGACCUGAGAGGGUGAUCGGCCACACUGGGACUGAGACACGGCCCAGACUCCUACGGGAGGCAGCAGUAGGGAAUCUUCGGCAAUGGGGGGAACCCUGACCGAGCAACGCCGCGUGAGUGAAGAAGGUAUUCGGAUCGUAAAGCUCUGUUGUAAGAGAAGAACGGGUGUGAGAGUGGAAAGUUCAC